GAGCGAACAGACGAGGAGCUUGCUCCUCUGACGUUAGCGGCGGACGGGUGAGUAACACGUGGAUAACCUACCUAUAAGACUGGGAUAACUUCGGGAAGCCGGAGCUAAUACCGGAUAAUAUAUUGAACCGCAUGGUUCAAUAGUGAAAGACGGUUUUGCUGUCACUUAUAGAUGGAUCCGCGCCGCAUUAGCUAGUAGGUAAGGUAACGGCUUACCAAGGCAACGAUGCGUAGCCGACCUGAGAGGGUGAUCGGCCACACUGGAACUGAGACACGGUCCAGACUCCUACGGGAGGCAGCAGUAGGGAAUCUUCCGCAAUGGGCGAAAGCCUGACGGAGCAACGCCGCGUGAGUGAUGAAGGUCUUCGGAUCGUAAAACUCUGUUAUUAGGGGAGAACAAAUGUGUAAGUAACUAUGCACGUCUUGACGGUACCUAAUCAGAAAGCCACGGCUAACUACGUGCCAGCAGCCGCGGUAAUACGUAGGUGGCAAGCGUUACCCGGAAUUAUUGGGCGUAAAGCGCGCGUAGGCGGUUUUUUAAGUCUGAUGUGAAAGCCCACGGCUCAACCGUGGAGGGUCAUUGGAAACUGGAAAACUUGAGUGCAGAAGAGGAAAGUGGAAUUCCAUGUGUAGCGGUGAAAUGCGCAGAGAUAUGGAGGAACACCAGUGGCGAAGGCGACUUUCUGGUCUGUAA
rnacentral:rRNA from 1 species